UACUAUAUAUUUUGAUUCUUCUCUGAAAGUGUUUGCAGUGAGCAAUAGUCUAAAUUGCCUCAUCUUCAAGGGCAUUAAUGAAAAAGACUGACAAGUACUCUGUAACACAGAUUUCUGGUAACUUUCAGAUUACACUAUUGGACUGCCUAAGAAUUUCCAGAACUCGAAUGAAGAAACUAAUGGGUUUGUGAAACUGUUCAUCAAAAUCAAGCAGAACAAGAACUAAUUACAUGCGGCACAGACAGGAUGGUGCUAACCUAUUCGAGAAGGACCACCACAACGAUCCAGUUACCUCCCAAUAUGCUCCACCUCCAAUGUCAGGGAUUACAUCUCCACGUGAGAUUUGACACAUCAAGGAGGUGGCCUUCUACAAGCUAGGAAGACAGCCCUCAACAGAAACGACCAUGCUGGCACCUUAACCUUGGAACUCUAGCCUUCAAAACUGUUAGAAACUAAAUUUCUGUUGUUUGAACCACCCAGUCUAUGGUAUUUUGUUGUGGCACCCUGAGCUAAGACAAGGUCUGUCAAAAGUGGAGUCAAAAUAAAGGCAUUUCCAGAUAAACAAAAGCUGAGAGAUUUCUGCCCAACAGAACAGCACUGUAAGACAUGUUAAAUAAGGCUCUUUAGGCUAAAGGAAAAGGAUACCAGAUGGAAACUUUAUCUAUAUGAAGUAUAAUAAUUAAGAGCAACGAAAAUGAUAAAUUUGUAAGUAAAAAAGAUUUUUCUUCUCACUUCUAAAUUUAUUUAAAAGACAACUGUUUAAUGCAAAAAUAAUAACUUACUAUGAGGUUUAUAACAAAUAUGGAAGUAAAAUGUGUGUCAACAUUAACACAAAGGACUGGAAUGACAAGUGGAACUAUUGU